GGGACUGAUUGGUAUAGACAAAAUUAUUUAUAUUAUUUUGUGCAUGUCAAGAUUGGAAGUUCUUGUAAAAAAUCCAAUAAAAUGCUUGCAAAACAAGCUAAUUUUGAAUCUGUAGCUAUACAUUAGUUUAGUUACUAUUCCUUCUAUUCUUAAAUUACGCUUUAUAAAUUUAAGAUGUGAAGUAAUUUAAAUAUAAAGCAAAUAUUAAAAUAUAACUAAGAAUAUUUAAUAUUUAAAUUAAAUCUUAGUCGAUUAUCUAAUUAAUUUCUUUUCUUUAAUAGAUAAUUGUAAAUAAGAAAAGAUAAACAUGUAGUACAAUUAAUAUAAAAAUUUUGGACGUGGGUUCGAUUCCCACCAGUUCCAA
rnacentral:tmRNA from 1 species